rnacentral:rRNA from 1 species
CCUACGGGAGGCUGCAGUGGGGAAUAUUGGACAAUGGGGGCAACCCUGAUCCAGCCAUGCCGCGUGUGUGAAGAAGGCCCUCGGGUUGUAAAGCACUUUCAGUGAGGAAGAACGCCUGGUGGUUAAUACCCAUCAGGAAAGACAUCACUCACGGAAGAAGCACCGGCUAACUCCGUGCCAGCAGCCGCGGUAAUACGGAGGGUGCGAGCGUUAAUCGGAAUUACUGGGCGUAAAGCGCGCGUAGGUGGCUUGAUAAGCCGGUUGUGAAAGCCCCGGGCUCAACCUGGGAACGGCAUCCGGAACUGUCAAGCUAGAGUGCAGGAGAGGAAGGUAGAAUUCCCGGUGUAGCGGUGAAAUGCGUAGAGAUCGGGAGGAAUACCAGUGGCGAAGGCGGCCUUCUGGACUGACACUGACACUGAGGUGCGAAAGCGUGGGUAGCAAACAGGAUUAGAUACCCGAGUAGUC